CCUACGGGAGGCAGCAGUGGGGAAUAUUGGACAAUGGGAGGAACCCUGAUCCAGCGACGCCGCGUGAGGGAAGAAGUAUUUCGGUAUGUAAAGCUCUAUCAGCCGGGAAGAAAGAAAUGACGGUACCUGACUAAGAAGCCCCGGCUAACUACGUGCCAGCAGCCGCGGUAAUACGUAGGGGUCAAGCGUUAUCCGGAUUUACUGGGUGGAAAGGGAGCGUAGACGGUUACGCAAGUCUGGAGUGAAAGGCGGGGGCCCAACCCCCGGACUGCUUUGGAAACUGUAUAACUGGAGUGCAGGAGAGGUAAGUGGAAUUCCUAGUGUAGCGGUGAAAUGCGUAGAUAUUAGGAGGAACACCAGUUGCGAAGGCGGCUUACUGGACUGUAACUGACGUUGAGGCUCGAAAGCGUGGGGAGCAAACAGGAUUAGAUACCCGGGUAGUC
rnacentral:rRNA from 1 species